GGAACUGCUUAUGCUUUUUGGUAGAAGUUUAUGAUUUAGAUAUUAAUCAGCAUCCUGAACCAAUUAGAAGCAGGCUUGUGAAUGCUGUAGUGGCAAUCGGUAUGUAUUAUUGACUGUUGUGCGAUUUUUCUCCUGUCUUUUCCCUUCACAAAUUUUCCAUUAUGAACAUGAUCGGUGAGGUUUAAGUUUCUUUUUUAAUACAUAAAAUAG
rnacentral:misc_RNA from 1 species